rnacentral:rRNA from 1 species
GCCUGUUUAUCAAAAACAUAACUAUAUGAAUUUAUAUUUAGCUAUUUCUGCUCAAUGAAUUUUGAAUAGCCGCAGUACUCUGACUGUGCAAAGGUAGCAUAAUCAAUUGUCCUAUAAUUUAGGUCUAGUAUCAACGAAAAAUUGGGUAAUAACUGUCUUUUAAAAUUGAUGGGAAUUUAAUUAUUAAGUGAAAAUGCUUAAAAAUAAAUAUUAGACGAGAAGACCCUAGAAAUUUUUUAAAAUAUUUUGUUGGGGCGACAAAGUAACAUUUUAACUUACUUUAUCUUAGGAAGUUUAUUAACUGUAAAAUUAAAUUACUCUAGGGAUAACAGCAUAAUAUCUUAAAGUUUGUGACCUCGAUGUUGGAUUAGGAAAAUUGAUGUUUAAAAGACAUUAAGUUGAGCUCUGUUCGAGCUAUUUAUUCCUACCUGAUCUGGAUUCAGACCGGA